UACGUAGGGGGCAAGCGUUGUCCGGAAUUAUUGGGCGUAAAGCGCGUGUAGGCGGCUCGAUAAGUCUGCUGUGAAAGUCCAAGGCUCAACCUUGGAAAGCCGGUGGAUACUGUCGAGCUCGAGUCCGGAAGAGGCGAGUGGAAUUCCUGGUGUAGCGGUGAAAUGCGCAGAUAUCAGGAGGAACACCAGUGGCGAAGGCGGCUUUCUGGUCUGCUCUUGACGCUGAGGCGCGAAAGCUAGGGUAGCAAACGGG
rnacentral:rRNA from 1 species